AGCCCACCUCUGCGGAGACAAAGGUUACGGAAAGAGGGGGAGCUGCUCCAGUGAACCUCGGCUGAGAGUGAGAGUGAAUGUCCUUGGCCAGUUCUAGCAUUCCCCUCAUCAUGAAUGCAUGGGCAUGGCCGCCCGGCUUCGGGACCUGCCUGAAAGAGAUGCCCAAGGAUUCGGCACACUGGAGAAGCACAGGACAAGCUUGGAUGUGAAAUAGCAACACAUUCUCCACUGAAGAAUAAUAAAACAAUGCUUUUAAUGAUACAAGAAAAUGGGGCAAGUUGUUGGGCCCUCCCCAGCAAGAACACUUUCCAGUGGUUCUCAACC